UGUAUGGUCCAAACAUGUGAGCAAUUCAAGCAAUCAGGAGGACUGUUCAUGCUUCAAGUGCAUUGAAGGAUAAAAAUGAAUAUGGCUAUUAGUUCUUUCUUGAUAGAUGAUGAGAUGAAAGAAUAUCUCACACAACUAUAGGAGAAGAUUAUCCAACUCAUUGAGAUCAUUUUCAGAUAGGCGGUGCCUUCAGUAUAAACAAAAGCACCAACAACUCUUGUUACGAAGUUGUCUCCCAUGUUUAGAGAUGAAGAUCGUCUAUCUAGUG
rnacentral:lncRNA from 1 species